rnacentral:rRNA from 1 species
CCUACGGGUGGCAGCAGUGAGGAAUAUUGGUCAAUGGACGAGAGUCUGAACCAGCCAAGUAGCGUGAAGGAUGACUGCCCUAUGGGUUGUAAACUUCUUUUAUAUGGGAAUAAAAUGUUCCACGUGUGGGAUUUUGUAUGUACCAUAUGAAUAAGGAUCGGCUAACUCCGUGCCAGCAGCCGCGGUAAUACGGAGGAUCCGAGCGUUAUCCGGAUUUAUUGGGUUUAAAGGGAGCGUAGGUGGAUUGUUAAGUCAGUUGUGAAAGUUUGCGGCUCAACCGUAUAAUUGCAGUUGAAACUGGCAGUCUUGAGUACAGUAGAGGUGGGCGGAAUUCGUGGUGUAGCGGUGAAAUGCUUAGAUAUCACGAAGAACUCCGAUUGCGAAGGCAGUUCACUGGACUGCAACUGACACUGAGGCUCGAAAGUGUGGGUAUCAAACAGGAUUAGAUACCCUUGUAGUC